rnacentral:rRNA from 1 species
GUAGGUGGCAAGCGUUGUCCGGAAUUAUUGGGCGUAAAGCGCGCGCAGGCGGUUCUUUAAGUCUGAUGUGAAAGCCCACGGCUCAACCGUGGAGGGUCAUUGGAAACUGGAGAACUUGAGUACAGAAGAGGAAAGCGGAAUUCCACGUGUAGCGGUGAAAUGCGUAGAGAUGUGGAGGAACACCAGUGGCGAAGGCGGCUUUCUGGUCUGUAACCGACGCUGAGGCGCGAAAGCGUGGGGAGCAAACAGGGAUUAGAUACCCUGGUAGUCCACGCCGUAAACGAUGAGUGCUAAGUGUUAGGGGGUUUCCGCCCCCUUAGUGCUGCAGCUAACGCAUUAAGCACUCCGCCUGGGGAUACGGCCGCAAGGCUG